rnacentral:rRNA from 1 species
UGGGGAAUAUUGCACAAUGGGCGCAAGCCUGAUGCAGCCAUGCCGCGUGUAUGAAGAAGGCCUUCGGGUUGUAAAGUACUUUCAGCGGGGAGGAAGGUUUUGUGGUUAAUAACCACAGCAAUUGACGUUACCCGCAGAAGAAGCACCGGCUAACUCCGUGCCAGCAGCCGCGGUAAUACGGAGGGUGCAAGCGUUAAUCGGAAUUACUGGGCGUAAGCGCACGCAGGCGGUCUGUCAAGUCGGAUGUGAAAUCCCCGGGCUCAACCUGGGAACUGCAUCCGAAACUGGCAGGCUUGAGUCUUGUAGAGGGGGGUAGAAUUCCAGGUGUAGCGGUGAAAUGCGUAGAGAUCUGGAGGAAUACCGGUGGCGAAGGCGGCCCCCUGGACAAAGACUGACGCUCAGGUGCGAAAGCGUGGGGAGCAAACA